GUCUUCAUUCAUCCUUCACAUUUACUGAGCACCUACUAUGUGCAAGGCGCUGUUCCAGUUGCUGGGCAUACAGCAGGGAACAAAAGUGGCAAAAAUUCCCACCUUCAAGGAGCUAGCCUUUUUGAUGGGCUAGCAAUCCAAAGCAAACUUUGGAUUUUGUUUGUGUAUUUAUUAGAGACCAGGUCUCGCUCUAUCCCAGGCUGGAGUGCAGUGGCACAAUCAGCUCACCGCGGCCUCAAUCUCCCAGCUACUCGGGAGGCUGAGGCAGGAGCAUCGCUUGAAUCCAGGAGGCAAAGGUUGCAGUGAGCUGAGAUUAUGUCAUUGCACUCCAGCCUGGGCAACAGACUGAGGCUCUGUCUCAAAAAAAAAAAAAAGAAAAGAAAAAAAAAAGAAUGCAUUGGAGAAGUAGAAGACUGCCAUAAUCAUAUAUAGGUGUGCGUAUAUACAAAUAUAUGUUGUAUGUGUAUAUAAUUAUAUGCACAUAUAAUUACAUGUAAUAUAUGAUAUAACAUUUUCAUUGAAGUAUAAAAUAUAUACAAUAAAAUGCAUAAAUUGC
rnacentral:lncRNA from 1 species